GGGGAUUUAGCUCAGUGGCAUAAGCGCCUGCCUUGCAAGCAGGCAGUCUUGACCCCAAGCCACUGGAAGCUGCGAUUUGAAUUUCCU
rnacentral:tRNA from 1 species